GACUGGGGAGCCUGGGAAAGGGGGCCGUGUCCCUUCCCAGAUGACCAGAGCCAUGGGCGUCAGCUCAAACAGGGGCUUCCUGCUCUUGCAGCCCAAAUGGGUUACAGGUGAGUGAAGGUGUUGAUCCUUGCUGGCCCGGGGCUGCACCUGGGGCCCGGGCUGGAUGGACAUCACCCCGCACCCAGCCCCGGCCCCCGCCAGCAAGGAGCCCCAGGGGCACCCAGCCUCUCCUGGUCCCCUGCAAAGAUGAGCAUCUUCUGCCAGGCCAGGAUGUGGGAGAGUUUGGGAAGCAGGUGCAGGGCACUGGGCGGGGCUCACCGUGGAUGGCCAGAGUGACGUAGGGCCUAGUGGCCUGGCAGGGAGGGUCAGGGUCAUUCCACAAGCCCGGCCUCCUCCAACCCUCCUCCAAGUGCAAAGGGCAGGGCGGCCACCGGGCAAAGGCCUGGCCACCGGAUGCCCUGGCCACCGUGGGCAACGGGCCCCAGCUCCCAGGUGGGAGGGGUCCUGAGGCGAUGAGGACGGAACAGGAUGUGGGGAUCCCCGACCAGCAAGGGAGGUAGGAAGAGGUGGGGCGGUGUCCCUGCGGCCGCUGGGCUGUGGGGAUCCUGCCAGACCUCAGCACCCCCUGACGUAGAGGGACCCUGACUGUCCCAUCGAGCAGGCCUGCUAGUCGCUCCCUGGCGGGGGGGUGGGUGGGAUUUGAAUCACGAGGGUCUGACACCCAGAUGUGCUGAACUGGAGCCCUGCACUCUGCGGACCCACCCGACCUACACACGGGCCCCUUUGCUCUGUUCUCUCAGGGGAACCCACCCCUCCAAGCUGGGGCUUCAUAUGGAGUUGUCCCUGGAGAGGGCGUCCUAGUGGGGACAGAACUGGAACAUUCCUGAGAUGAGGCCUGCGAUGCAGGCUUGAGGCUGACACAGAACUGCUAAGGGCGGGUGUGCCCAGGGUCUUAACCCGAGAGGACCCCCGGCUGGAGCUGGAGGAUGGGACGGGGGGGCCGAGGAAGCCCGCUUUGAUGUCCGCGGACUGGACCAGGGCCUGGCCGGGGGCCCUGGCCGGGGGCUCACUGCGGAGAGAAGGCACCUUGGAAACCACUCAGGCCCGUGGCCCCGCGUGUCCCGAUCCACAGGCAGAGGCGCUUCUGUCCCAUGGAAGCCCCGAGCUGGGCGGCACAGAGUGUGCUCGGGGUGACCCAGGGGCUGCCAGGCUUUGCCGCGUGGAAAACCAGCGCCCCAGACCACGGCCCCUGCUCACCAGCCACCAGCAAUGUGAGGGGAGCGCUCAGGGUCCAGGCUCCCCGUCCACUCCGAGGGCCCGGGUGCCGUCGCCCAUCUCUGGGCCAGUGUUCCACGUCCCCCCACCCCAAGGAGUGCCUGGGGGCUCCUGCGGCUGGGGCACACUUCCUAGGCACCCAGAGGCCUGAGGUGAGCACGUGCCCACACGUCCCCUUACGCUGAGCCCCAGGGACAACGCUGCCGGCGCUGGCAGUGGCACCAGGGAACCCCCUGCCCCACACGGACUAAGGGGCGGGAGGGAAAGAGGAGGCCCCAGAUAUCCUGGCCUCUCUCGGGUGGUGGGUGUCCCAGCCUGGGCUCCCCCCGCCCAGCCAGGUGGCCUCACUGUUCCCAGGGUGUGGGCCCCAACCCCAAGGCCCGCCCCACCCACUGCGUGGUAAGGGGCCGGGAGCUUAGCGCGCGUGCAGCUAUCUGUGGCCAGACGCCCUUCCCAUCCCUCUCGGCCUGGUCCCUCCACCCUCCCAGGAGGCCUCCGUCAUGAGUCACGUCCACACUGGGGCCGGGCAGAAGCAGCCUCAGACUUCGGAGGCCACGCCCUCCAGGAGUGGGGCGCUGCCCCAGCUGGUGGCCUGGAGCAGGUGAGGGGAGGAGGGCGUCUGCCCUGCCCCAGUCCCCCUAGCUCACAGCAGUCCAGGCCGUUGCUCUCCCAGGUCUCGCUCAGCCAGUUCUGCAGGCCUGGGCCGGUCAUGGCGACAGCACAUCACCAGCUGAGGAUUCUUUGGCAUCGCGUCCUGUGACUCUGUCCUGAGUGGCUCAGAGGUCAGGUGCCAUGCUCAGAAACGGCCAGCCCCAGCCCCUGCUGGCCAGGAGGAGCCAGGACCGCCGCUGGCCCUUAGCAAGCUGGACUGUCUUGAGGUGGACCCACCCAGAGAUCCCAGGGCCAGCGAGGGGGCAGCAGGGCUGGGGGGCUGGGGAGCUGGCAGACAGAGAGGAGGUCUCCAGGGGUCUGAGCCACUUGAUGGGGCCAGGACAGAACCCCACAGUCACACCGAGCCCUGGGGGGUCGCAGUAGCAGUAGCCCCUGCUCUCAUCCUGGCCCUGCCUCAACCCAUCUUGGCCUGUGCCGGCCUGCAUCCUCUGGCCUCAGUUUCUUGAUCUGAGACACCAGUUUGGACCAAUUAGAUGAGCUCAUAGUUAAGGCAGGGGACAGUUCUUCUGCUAACCUGGCGUAGGGGCUGAACGGUGGCCCUGAAAGAGAUGUUUGCCCAGACCCGAGAAUGUGGGCUUUCGUGGAAUGUGGCCCUUGCAGAUGUGAUCAAGGUUAAGGGCAGAGAUGAGGGCAUCCUGGAUCAGGGCGACCCUAAGUCCAGUGACGGAAAAGAGACACAGACACGCAGGGAGGGGCCGCAGGAGGACAGAGGCAGAGAUGGGCUGAUGCGUCUACAGGCCGAGGGGCACCGAGGCGUGCUGGCUGCCAGCAGGAGCUGGACAGGCCUGGGCCAGACCCUCCCUCACGUCCUCAGGAGGAAUAGCUGCCCCCCGCACCUUGACUUGGAUUUCUGGCCUCCAGAGCUGUGAGAGAAGGGAUUUCUGUGGUCUAACCCGCCCGGUUUGUGGCGACUUGUUACAGCAGCUCCAGGAAACGGUUACAGCCGGGACACUCAGGGCAAGGGACACUCCAGUGACUCACCUCAGAGCCAUCAGGAGCGGAAGGCGGGGCGAGAAGGCCCUCCCACGUGGUCACAAGGUGCAAGGCGGGGAGGGAGCAGACAGUGGCGGAGGUGUCUGCUGGCACGGAGGGCUUUUCUGCAGCACGGCUGACAGCGACUCCGGUCUUUCUGCCCCCUCCCGCCUGUCCUCACAGGGCACAUUACCCACUUCCUGGGGUGACCGGCCCAAACUGGACCCCCAGUGGGCAGCCGCCCGACUGGGGGUGUCAGUGGUGGAGCCAGGGAAGCACGGGCGGUGAGACCCCAGGUCGGUGCGCCCGGAGCAGAGUCUGAGUGUUCCGAUGGGGUAUGGGGUCCCCUCACUGCGUCCCUGCUGGGCCUGGAUGGUCACUUGGCAGAGGUGGGGGUGGGGUAGGACCCCCGAGAACCCCUCCAGCUGGAUCCUUGGAUUCUCCGAGGAGAGGGGAGUGUCGCCAGCCCUCCUGUGAACCAGGGCAAGGUGGGCCCGAGUGAAGGGCAAGCGUCAGGUCCCCCAUGCGCUCUGCGGUGGCGCGGCACGCGGGCUCUGACCUCCGGGCACUGCUGUGCCGCUGGGAGACACCACCCACCCCAGGGCUGAGGGCACAGCGUGGCUGGGAGCAAGUGAUGGCAUCGGGGUGCCCCAGCAGGCCGGCUGCUUGGAGGAGGGCCACUCCGAGCAGGUAAACUGAGGCCCCACGGACACACAGGUUCGUCGCCAGGCACAGAGGGAGGUGGGAUUCAGGCCGUGGAAGGUGGUCCCUGCCCGGAGUUGGGAUACUCUGUUGUCAGGGGCACCCUGGAGGGUGCUGGGCUGGUGACAGGAGGACACCUCACUCGUUUCAGCUGAGACCAGGUUGAGGGGAGUUGGGGGGACACCCGCAAGGGCCCUUGCAAGGAUCAAGUGUCGAGUCUCCGAGGUGACAGGUGCUCGUUCCUGCCCCAGAGAGGGAGGGGUCAGAGACAAAGGGAGGGCUGAGACGGCCACACGUGGGAGCUGCGGGCCGUACCGCUGACCCCGACGGGUUCUCUGCUCCCAGCAAAGUGCUGGCUGACACCUGGCCUCCGGGUCUCUUAAAGCGAUUGUUUUUCCGCCACAUUGUGGCGGCUGUGUUUUCAUCAGGGUCCUCUGGGGAUGCUUCCAUCUCAGUGAAAUUGCAGGUCUGCCGUAGCGCCCCAGCCCCUGCCAAGUCUCUCAGUCAGCUGGAGUCCUCGGUGGCCGCAGGAUGGCAAGCCACUUCUCCUGGGAGCGCUCCCGAGCCCACUGGGGGCAGAGAGUCUAGCUCCGCUCCCUCCCCUCGGGGCCUGACCCCGGGAUGCUUGCAUCACGGGAACUGCUUUUAGCAGCCCCUUCGCCUGAGCCAUCCAGCACACGCGGGGGGCCCAGAGUGUGGGCUCAGCAGGCAGCGCUCGGUGGACAGGCAGCCCGUCUCUCUGGGCUUGCAGGGGAGCCGUGAUGUCACCAUGAUUCCACGCGGCUGCCAAGCGCCCAGCGUGACGGCCCCUCCUGGCCAGCUCGGCACUGACGCAAAUCAAAAGCUUCUAGCUCUCUGAGCAGCUGCCACCCUGUCCUCCGCCGGCAGCCCUGUGGUCCACGGCAGGGAGGGCAGGCAGCGGCGGGCUCCAGCGUGGGACCUGGCAUUUGAGGUCAUCAGCUGCUCUUUAAAGCGCAGGCAGCGUGGCACGGGGGGCUCCUUGGAGGUCAAGGAGAGCCAGCCACUCGCACAGCUCCUGGUGAGGUCAGCCGCCCUGCCCCUCCAUCCAGCGGUGCCUGGGGCCCUUCAGCUCUGGUCACGGCUGCUGGCCCAAAGUGGCACUAGGGGCAUGGGAGGACGUUAGGCCAGGUGGACCCACCCCGGGGACGGAUGGGGGCAGGGGGCAGGGCGGCCCCUGCGUGGCGUCAAGCAGGGUGGGGUGGAGCUCCGUCUUCCUCUGGGUCUCCUUUCACCGUGGGUGUAAAUAGCGGCCUUCCGGAGCUGCUACUGCGAGGUCUACCUGAGCCUCCGAGGGGCUGCUGGAGUCUCACCUUUCAGCACAUCCUCGCCACAGCGACCCGCAGACGACACACCUCCGGGGCUCCUUGGAGGGACGUGGGGAGCCAGGCAUGGCGACCAGGUGGACCCAGAGCGACCUUCCUGGCGUCUCCGGCUGAGAGUCAUCCUGGGGGCCUGCCUGCCCUGAAGAAGGCCACCUCAGCCUGCCUGCCGGAGCCUCCUGUCCUUCCUUAAACACGCACACACAGGCUCAUGCAUGUACACGCACGUGCACGCACACACACACAUGCAGCACAUGCGCACACAAACACACAGGAGUGCAAGCACCCGCGAACAUGUGAACACAUGUAUGUGCCCCACACUCCCACAGUGUACGUGCACAUGUAGACACGCAUGCCACACACACACACGCACACGCACACACGCACGCACGCACGCACGCACACACGCACGGGGGUCCAGCUGCUUUCCAUUCCCAGAUCAGCACCUGCUGUCGCCGACAGGGCACCUUCCAGGAUUUCGACCAAUCCCUGCUCAUGCGAGGACCCCCGCCCCUGUGCAGGCAGGACCCUGACCCUCUGCCCUCGGCCUCAGUGGACGCAGGAGGACAGGCUGCCCAGGGGCUGGGAUGGCCGCCUGGGGGGCAGCAUGAGGAAGCCACUUGGGGUCCAGGGGCGGGUCCAGGCAGGCCGGACAAGACAGGAGCUGAGGACGAGGACUCCAGGCCCUACCUCAAGGGCACCUUUGUCUCCACAGGAACUGGGCUGACCAGAAGCCAGCUCCGGCCACCUCCGCCUCAGCACAGGCAAACGACUACGUGGCCGGGCGGACGCGGCCGGGUCGCGUGUGGAGAAGGGCCCACCUGGGGGUCACCCUGGGUGAGGUGGGAGGCCGCAGCUGACCCCUUCCUGUGGGCAGCACACGAAGGGUCGGGACGCCUCCCCACGGAGCGCCUGCUGUGGCGAGGCUGGCCUGCGAGGCGUUGCCUGGAGACCCGAAGUGUCCGGCGCUCCGUUCCAUCCGCAUCAGCAGCGGGCCCGCCAGGGGGCCGUACCCCGUCUUCUCAUCACGGGGCUCUGUCCCGUCCUCGUCCCAAGGCAGAGGUGCUGCCGCUGCCCUGUGGGGACUCUCAGGACCCUGGGCCUGCGGCCGCUGCACAGCCUCCAGCCCUGACGCUGAGUCGGGUCCACGGGACUCCGGGUCAGCACGAGGUCAAGGGCUGGUGAGUCCUCUGUUCUCUUGCUGCUGUGUCUGUUCUCCUUCCUCACCCCCACCAGAGCCCUGCUGCACUGUCCUGGAUGUUUCCACCCACGAUCCCAGGCAGCUCUGGGCCCUUUUGCGUGCAGAUGGAUGAGGUGCAGCAGGGGUUCGGAAGCAAAAUGACCGUGGCAAGAAGCAGACAGACAGACGGACAGACAGACAAAAGGCUGGGUCUUGCAGGACACCCCAGGCUGCUGGCGGGGCUUCUCAGAGGGUGGCUCGGGGGCCCCUGAACUGGACCUCCUGCUCUGGGGUCGGGAGGUCUGCAGGUUUCUGGGCAGCCCUGCGUCCUCAGUCACCAGAGCAGAGCCUCACGGGACCAGACCGGCCUGGCUCCUGGGCCCACCUGGAGGGGGGACCCUGGGGCUCCUCAGGAAGAGCUGCUCCCGUCCCAUGGCCUCCCUUCUGGCUCCCUCUUUCUGCUCGUGGACGGAGGCUGGUCUUUGUUUUGUUUUGUUCUAAUAACCUAAACAAUUGGCACAGAGGCUGCAUCAGCUGAUGGGCAGCCGGCCGAUGGUCACGCUGUCCACGUGGCCAGGCUGGCGGCCGUCACGUGCAAGCGGGGUGGGGACUGGGUGGGCGAGCCCAGCAGGGGCGCCCCAGGCUCAGCAAAGGCGUCCCAGAGCUAGAAGCUCGCACCUCCCCUCUCCUCCCCUCCCCACACCAAUGGGAAAUGGGGCAGGAGGGUUGAGCCGCCCCUACUCCCCAAGGCAAACAGAGACCUGGCCGCCAGCCGCGCCCCCGACAGAGGGCCCUUUCUUCUGCUCUCCAGCUGAGCAAGGUCGACUGCGGCCAACAGUUUCUGCUUUCCUGCCCACUCCCUCUCGAGAGCUGCGGUGGCAGUGCCCCAAAGCUGGUAUUCGCACACAUUCCAACCUGCCCUUUGGUUUGUAAGAUGUAAAUAUUUGCUCUUCCAUUAAGAAAAUAAUCAGAAGUUAUCCUUUAAGUGGAGUGUACACACCGGUGCCCUUCAAAAGGCAAAUGCUGCUCUUCCUAAAGGUGGAAGGAGAGAGCCGGGCUGGGCGGCUCUGGGGGUGUAGGCCUGCCUCUCUGUGCUGCGCCCACCUGCCUGAACGCUCUAGCAGCUCAGGCAGCAUGCAGGGGAGACCGCAUGGGGCACGAGGCAGCCCUGGCAUCUCAGCCCAGCCCACCUCUGGGGCUGGGCAGGAUGCAGGCGGGCUUCUGUCUGGGGGUGAGCCUUUCCGGCCCCAAGUCUGCACAGGGCCUGGCUGGAGAGCAGUUGGCAAUGAGAGAGAGCGUGGGAAGCUGUGCUCUGGGCGGAAGGUCUGUAUCUGGGUCUCAACUCUGCCUCGUCCUUGGCACACGAAGUGGGCCGCCGGCUGACCCUCGCCAGGCUCCCGUUCUCUUCGUGUAAAACGACGGGGUCCCAGCUGCUUUGUACCGCCGCUGCCCUCCCCGCUCUGGUCAUCGAAGCCCCUCCCAUCUCUCAACCCUGGGGCCAAAGCAAGGACGAGAAAGAGGAUAUGAAGCGUUCGCAGGAACACCCCGGAAACAAACGAACAAUGACGUCAACGCCCAGGCCCGCUCUCUCCAGGCCCCAGCAGGCCCCUUCCCUGGAGACCAGGCUCUCCCGGAGGCCAGACUCCCGUGGGCACGGCAGGCUGCCCACCCUCAGGGACACUUGCACAAGGACGUCGCAUCUGCGGGCUCCGGGAAGUCCCGAGGGCGGCUCCCCCGACCUGCGUGGCCACGGCUGCCCUGGCGUCCUCACUGCCUUCUUGAAAUACUUGUGGAGAAGCCUGUGGCCUCUUUGGAUCUGGGUGUGCACACGUCUGAGGCCUGGCCCUGGCUCUCUUCCCCAGGGGCUCCUGCAGGACGUGCUGCCUGACGGGACCCCACCGAGGAAGCCCCGCGGGCGGGGUGGCGGUGCAGAGGGAAAGGUGCCAGGACCCCUGUGAUCUCAUUCGGGCCCCUCGCUUUGCCCUCUGACCCAGGCUCUGGGCUUGAAUUACGAGAAUCCCGUAAGGUAACGUAGGUGGGGAGCUGCUGCCUGGUGGAGGCUCAGGCGGGACCAGCGUCCUCUUUGUCCUGACCACGUGCUCCUGCGCUCUCUGGAUGUGCCCAGAGCUUCCUGGGUCUGGGUAGGGGAAGGGUUUGUUUCUUUUCUGGCAGCAGGAGCCCAAGAUCAGGCAACAGCCCACCUGCGUGAGGGUGCGGGGCGGGGGAGAAGGUGGUCCCACAGGAAAUGCCAAGUGGGCACCUGGGGCACUUCCUGAGUGUGAUCACAUGCCCGCGAGUGGGUGGACCGUCCUUACCUUUUUCCUCCUAGAAAGGAUGCCUCCACCUGGAGGCCCUCCAGGCUGGACUCUCCCUCUUUUAGGAAGCCGCUCUGUCCCGAGCCUAUCUGGCUGGUCUUACUAUCCUUCUCACUCCUCCUGGGUCCCCAGCCUCCAGGGGACCCUUCUCAAGGGCCUGUGGACAUUCUGCCACCCUGUCAGCCUGGAGGAUGCUUCUCUACUUGUCCCGAAGACAGGGCAGCUUCCCGCCAGGUGGGAAGUGGAGCACAUAGAACUCUCUGAGGCCUUACGGCAGACAAGCAGGGGCAGCCAGACAAGGGCCUUGGGUGGUCUGAGCCCGGAUGUUCUAGCAGAUUCCUCCUAGGGCGCCUGGUGCAGUCCACACGCGUGUUUUGCGGCUGACUCAGAGAGGGAAGGCAGUGGCGGGAACCACACACAGCGGCAGAUUCCUUCCCCGUCGUCAGGCACCGGCCCCGGCUCCGACCCCGACCCCGCAAGGCUGGACGCCUGCUAGGCUGGUGACUGACGUGGCCCAGGCAGGGAGGGGACAUCAGGGCCAGAGAAGCCCAGGUCCAGAGGGAAGAGGCCUCAAGAAAAAUGCAGAGCGUCAAAACCACGAUUGCAGGGAUUUUAGCCCUACGGCCAAGACUGAGUCAGCAGUGAUGUCAGCCCUGAGCUGACUGAAGGAAAACUAGGAAAUGAGAACACGUCUUGGACCUGCCGAGACCUUGCUGUGGACCAUGAAUGACGGAAGAGUGGGCAGCAUGGAGCUGGCCGGGCUCUGCAGGCUGUUUCUGGAAAGGGCCAGGGAGUAAAUAGUUUAGGUGCUGUGGCCACUCGGUCCCUGUUGCAACCGCUCGGCUCUGCCCUUGUAUGUGAAAGCCGCCGUGGCCGACAGGCAAAUGAGUGGUCGUGGCCUCGUGCCAAUAAAACUUUAUUUGU